GUAUUUUGACAUGAGGGCUGGGCAACAGCUUCUGUGCCUCCAUCAAGCAGAAAAUUUCAAAAGUCAUGGUGUCUUCCUCCACUCCACAUAUAGAAGCCAGCUGGACUAGGAGUCAACUCCUACUCACCAUGGGUAACUGCAUAAUGCCUCUCACCGUGUCUCAGGGCAGCCCACUCGUUUAUAAGAUGCAUGCCAGACUGUAUAACACACGCAAUGCAGCUCUGUCCUUCGAGAGAUGGAAAUUGCCAAUUGGGUCAGGAGAAAUGCCAGGAGGGCAUUACUGUCCACUACCAUCUGCAGGCUGAGGUAGUUAAGGUGCCUAAUUAUAGGACUGACCCUUAGGAGACUUCCAUUAUGUGGAGCACCUGGAACCUAUCACUUUUAAGUAUGUGGAAAGAAAACAGAAGGACAAGGUUACUAAUCUUCAAGAGCUUUGUUCAUGUGCCAGAAAACCUUUAGUCUCUUCCAUAUUUUAGUCAUUGCAAAAGCAGGGAACAGUAACUGGAAUGCUGGUUGGAUGGCAGACUACAGUGGGAAACAAGCUUAGGUCAAAUUAAGCAAGAGGAUCUUUCAGUAAACUGGAUGUCAUAGAGGGCCAAUGAAGAUAAAUGAUGUCUUGCUGGAACAAAAGAAAAACAAAUGCUGAUUCUUGAUCGGAAUAUUCCCCUCAUUCAGUGGAGACUGACUCAUAGACCAAGAUAUGAGUUUCUACUGAUUUAAACGGGCUUUGAUGUUGACUUGAGUGUGUUGCUAAAGGAUUGCCAGACCAGAAAUUUGACAAGGGAGCUUGCAUUGUUUGGCUCCAACUAAAGGCCGUUCAUUGCAAUCUGCAGAGCUACGUUAUACUGUUUUCACAACACACAAACAGUAGUCUCUCCACAAUCAACCUGAGGAAUGAGACAGAUACCAUGUCAGCUAACAACCUAGCUUCAUUUCAUAACAUUCUGGGUCUUUAUGGGAUGUCCAUUGUGGUUGAAAUGGUUUCUUUGCUCUGUUUUCCAGCCCCGCUCUUUGGGUAAGCAAGAUAUUAGGUCCUUAGUUCACAGACAAAGAAAGAAAAUGGCGUUGAUGUCACUCGCACCAUUUCCUAGCUUGGAUGCGUUCCAUGCUUCUGCCUGGCAGGCUGUCUGCAUGCAAUUGGUUGUUUGGGAAAUCAACCCAGGAGCUGCAAUUUAUCUUUCCAGCUGGUGCCCAUACAGCUGUGCUGUAGAGAAAGGUGCUAAUUGUCUGGUAUUCAUUCAAGGAAGGAUGAGCACAGUGCCCUCUUCUAACUGGUAG
rnacentral:lncRNA from 1 species